CUACCUCUUGAAUCCAGUCCCCUCCCCACAGGCGGGGACCUACAGAUGCUACGGUGCCUUCCUCAACAACCCCUACCUGUGGUCUCAGCCCAGUGACCCAGUGCAGCUUCAGGUUGAAGGAACUACUGACUCUCCCAGCAGCACACAGCCCAGACAUUCAACUGCCCCGUCUGGCAACCGAGCCUCCCAAGACAGACGCCUAGGCAUCUGGAUCGGUGUCCCGGUGGCCGUGGGUCUCCUGCUCCUAGUCUUCCUCGUCUUCUUCAUCCUCUACUGUCUGCGCAAAGCCAAAAACAAUGCUGAGAGGAAAGAGAGACACCCAGAGGCAGCUGGCUGGGUGAAUGGACAGGUGAGGGCUUCCUCCCCUAGACUGUCCCUUGGACGCCUCCUGUCACAACCCCAUCUCAUAUUCUCCCUUCCUUCCUCAGGCCUCUGAAGCUGCAGACCCGCAGGACGUCACCUAUUCCCAGGUGACCUGCCAUGUCCCCCACCAGGGGACAGCUGGGACCCCUUCCUGGGUGCCCAGACAGACCCAGAGCAGCGAGUAUGUGACGCUGGCCUUCAAAUAAGCCAGGCACCAGGGCCAGCACUUCAUCUGGGCAGCAGAACUCACAGUUACCUCUGGUAGCUCCCUCCUCUAGAACUGAGGCUCCAAACCUAACAGUCAGCCUGGUUGAGGGAGCCCACAUUCCUCAGAAGGUCCUGAUGCCCCCACACACACACACCCGGAAAUCUAGAGACCUCAGCAACAUCAGCCAGUCAGUCCCAGAAUCUCUAGUUGCCCAGGAGUUCCUGAGACCCUCUGAAGUCACCAGAAGAGUGACAGGGUAAUGUUUUGUAAGUCUUCAUUAUUCAUUAAUUAAAUGUUGUUGUUCAGUCU
rnacentral:lncRNA from 1 species